CAGUAAUGUGAUCUGUACGGCGAGAUCUUGCUAUUUAAUGGGAUUUUUCUUUCUGCAUUUGUGUUUGCCCCUUUUUGCUUGGCUUUUUGAAAUGAAUUAAUAGGAUUUAGAUCCUUGUUUGGUUAGUUUUUUUUUGCUUUGUUUUAUCAAUGGAGCUGCGCUUUUUAAUUUAGUGAGAAUUUGAUUAGUAAUUUCACUUUGGUUGUUAAUUUCUGGGUUAUCAUUUGUGAAAUAUGAAUAAUAAUUAGGGGAAAAAGAGAAAAGAGUUAGGAGCAGGUCUUAUAUUAUGGAUGUAUCAAAUCGUGCUUGGGGUUUGAAAAUGUAGUCACUUAUUUUUUUACCCUUUUUUUGGGUUAAUGGGUUUGUAUUUUUUGCACAAUUUUGAUCUACAUCUGUAGACUUAUUGUAAUGUAUAUGUAGUAGUUAGUGAUUGAUUCUGGCGUGCUUGAUGUGAAGUUAAAGGAAAAUUUGGAUAUUGGUGUUUCAUCAAGAAUGAAUGGACAAAAGGAUGUUUGUCCUUGGUCUAGUCUUUUAGGUUGAUAAGAAUGGUACUUGUGGCUAUGAAAUAUUGAUGUCGUAUGUGUAUCUAUGUGCGAGGAUUGGCUAAAUAGUUACUAAAUAUGUUUUUAAACCUUGUAGCGCAUUGAACUGAUAAGGGAACUGAUGAUUUUCUGGAUUAAAAUUAAGGGCCCAACGAUUAUUCAACUAUAGUUGCUACACGCACGAUAUGAAUACCUGCAUUAAUUGGCCAAUUUGUACGGUCUUUGCAUCUCAUGUGGCUGACUUUGAUGAGACACUUCAUUUUCUGUUUCAGGCUUUUGUCCCAACAGUGAUGUCGGGGAAUGCUCUUAGAGACCUAAAUACACUACCUGGAUCCGAGAGGAAGAAUGAAAGCUCUAGUAAAGGGAAUUUUUCCAAACCUUACUGUGAGAACAGUGAUAAAAAUUUUGAAAAGUCAGAGAGAAAAAACUCUUCCUCAUUGGUUUCAGCUACUGUUAAUGGAGAUGGAACUGCUAAUCCUGCAGUGGCGAUAGGUAAUGCGGAGAUGGAAUAUAUUGAGUCCGAGAAUUUGAGUGAUGUAGAUGAUUUUGAUACCAGUGUAAAGACACUCUUGGCUGGUCUAGACUCUAAAGAUUGGGUUCUGGUUUGUGAAUCACUUAACAAUGUACGUCGGUUAUCCAUAUUUCACAAGGAAGCAUUGCUGGAUAUGCUGGGUGAUGUGAUACCACUCAUUGUCAAGUCAUUGAAGAAUCCAAGAAGCGCCGUUUGUAAAACCGCAAUUAUGACUUCUGCUGACAUGUUCAGUGCAUAUAAUGAUCACUUAAUUGAUUCACUGGAUCCUCUGGUACUUUAUUUCAACAAUAGUUUCUGCCUCAGUUGUUGAGCUAGUUCUUUUGUGCAUUGUUUUUGCCUUAUGUGACCUGAUGUGUUUCCCUCUUUUUCUCAAAAUGUGGUUAAAUUUGAUAUAUGCAGCUUGUACAACUUCUUCUGAAGUCUUCACAAGACAAACGAUUUGUAUGUGAGGCAGCUGAGAGAGCUCUGGUAGCAAUGACGACUUGGGUUUCCCCUACACUGUUGUUACCAAAGUUGCAGCCAUAUCUUCAGAAUAGGAAUCCUCGAAUUCGAGCUAAGGCAUCAAUGUGCUUUUCUCGAAGUGUACCACAACUGGUAGGAAGACAAAUUUUUAUAGAAUCAUCUACUUUUCAAUUUGAUUAUUGAGCUUAACUGAUAAUUCCAUUCCUUUUUUUGUCCUCCAUAGUAAGAGUUUAUAUUAAACCUUACAUUAUUUUUGACUGCUUUAUCUCAUUGCAUUUCUAAUUUAUUGUCUUAUUUCUACCUUUGAUGUUGCCAAUGCGGAUGCCACCUUAUCUGUUGUGAUUUGAGAAUUUCACAGUACUGUAGUGUUUGUCAUUUUUAAAUAAGUUUAUUGAAAGUUCUUGAAUAGAUAUGCUGCUGUUAUUAUUUUACUAUUUUGUUUUUAGAGCUCCUGCUUGUGUUCUUUGUCUACCUCCGGAAUAAUACCAGUAACCAUAUUGCAUACACCUAGUGUUUUGGAUGUUAAGCUGCAUCCUGUCUUCAUUCUUAUACGUGUGCAUAUCUCUUUUCUGCUGUGAGAACAUUGCUCCUUAGUCAUGUGCAGACCUUAUGAUAAAAGGGUUUAUUUGAGGUUUUGUUUGCUCUUCCUCAUGUGAUUAACUCUAUUUUGCUACCUUCUUUCCCUACCGUUUGGGGUGUGCAUGCAUGCAUGUACUUGUGACAGAGAUAAGAAUGAUGAUUUGGUUAUAUAUAUAUACACUUGCACUGGAUUGAGGAGAAAAUGUAAACCUAAAUUGGGUUGCAUUUAUUUUGUUGCCUUCAUGUGCGCUUGUUCAGUUGUUCCUAGUUUAUGCCCUUAAUCAUUUAAUCAUGUUUGUAUCAACAGGGUGUUGAAGGGAUUAAAUCAUAUGGGAUUGACAAAUUGAUCCUAGUAGCUGCAUCACAGCUCAGUGACCAACUUCCUGAAUCUAGGGAAGCAGCUAGAGCCCUCCUCUUGGAGCUGCAAACUGUAUAUGAGAAGUCACAUGACCUCACACCAGCAGUAUCUGAGCAUUCAGAGCUGAGUUCUUGGGAGCAUUUCUGUCAGUCAAAGCUCUCCCCUUUAAGCGCACAAGCUGUGCUUCGUGUGACCAAUAUUGCUCGGGAGGGUCUUGUCUUGGGUUCAUAACAGAAGUUAUAUAUAAGAGCAUAUUUGAGUUUUAGUGAGUACGGUCUUUAUUUUACUCGCAUAUUUGAUCUUCAGUGAGCCAGAGUUUAUAAUUUGCUUUUCUUUUUGUUCAUCAUUGUCCUGUAAAUAGCAAGAAACAUUGAGAUGUCUGAAUUGCGGUUAAACAUGUAGUUGAAUUGGAAUAUUCUUUGGAGAUGAGUUACUGUUGGCCAUCAAUUUCUUUAAUACAGUUACGAGUUUAUGCAGAUUAGUUAUGAAAAAUAAUGCGAUGCCUUUUUCUUUCAUCGCCCUGCAUUGUCCAUUUAGCCAAGAGAAAAAGAAAAAAAGAAGACCCUUUCAAUGCUUAUACCUUUAUUCCCAUAAUGUCAUCUGUUAAUUGAAAUUGAGAUGUGGCUUUUGAACUCUGAUUAAUGAUGAACACUGUUAACUACAGGGAUGUUUCUACUUUGAAUAUGUGCAGCUAAUUUCUUGGGAAGUUCCUGUGAAAAAUUUUUUAUAUUUACUUUCAUUGCCACUGAUAAUUAUUAAGUUAAUAAAACAUUUAGUGUUUAUUUUUAGUGAUCUGGUUGGCUAAAAUUAACAUUACAACUCUUGACAAAAUGCUUGAACUAGAAAUGCUUAAUAAUGUUAUUCCUUUUGUAGAUUUUAAAGCAACUGAUUGCAGAAUAAAGCUUGAUUUGAAGUGGGUAAGAUGUGAUUAAAAAAAUGCUUGAUUUAUAUGCUAAUUAUGGUGGGUGAGAUAAAGAUUGAUCCAGUGGUUUAAUUCCAGAUUGGCCGUCUCCAUCAUCCGCUUAGAUCUCAUCAACCUUUUCUUUUGAAAAUAG
rnacentral:misc_RNA from 1 species